rnacentral:rRNA from 1 species
GACGAACCGUGCGACCGUUGUUCGGAAUCACUGGGUUUAAAGGGCGCGUAGGCGGGCUGUCAAGUCGGUGGUGAAAUCUUUCGGCUCAACCGGAAAAUUGCCUUCGAUACUGGCGGCCUGGAGGGAGGUAGGGGCAUGCGGAACUUCCGGUGGAGCGGUGAAAUGCGUAGAUAUCGGAAGGAACACCGAUGGCGAAAGCAGCGUGCUGGACCUUUUCUGACGCUGAGGCGCGAAAGCGUGGGGAGCGAACAGG